CCGACCACGAGAGGUGGGGACGUCAGGCGGGACCGCCGGUGACAAACCGGAGGAAGGUGGGGACGGACGUCAAGUCAUCAUGGCCCUUACUGUCCUGGGCUACACACGUGCUACAAUGGCCGGUACAGAGCGCAGCGAGGCCGCGAGGCGGAGCGAAUCGCUUAAAGCCGGUCCCAGUACGGAUUGGAGUCUGCAACCCGACUCCAUGAAGUUGGAAUCGCUAGUAAUCGCGCAUCAGCAUGGCGCGGUGAAUACGUUCCCGGGCCUU
rnacentral:rRNA from 1 species